CGGAGCGGGAGGAGCGGGAGGGGCUGUGCGCAGCCCGCGGACCCGGCCCGACUUCGCCAGCGACUUCCUGGAACAAUAAGCCCCAGGCCUGAGCGCCGUUGGCCCGCCCCGGGCCGAGAGCCGCUGCGCCGCGAACCCUCCCUCGGGCCGGCUGUGGCGGCGGGGCGCUGAGGCGUGACCCGGCGCGCCCCGGGGUUGUUUGCCGGCGACGACGGGGAAACAGCCCGAGCCCACCGGGACACUAGCCUGCCUGCUCCGCCGCUCUCGAAGACCUGCCCUCCCGGAGCGCCGGAGUCCUCAGCGGCGCCGAGGGCCCCUCCCCCGGGCCUGCGGGCUCUGAGCCCAGUGAAGCCAUUUUACAGAGAAGCAAAUCAAUGCUGGGAAGGACCAACACGUUUGCCCAAGAUCCACUGAAAGAGGCAGGCCUGGACUCAACUGCAUGGCCACCUGUCACCCAAGUCCAAGCAUUAGCAUCACACUAUGCUGCUUAUGGAAGAAGUAUGAGACACAGUUCCAACCCCUCCAGUAGCUAACAGGUCUCUGGGAGACAGGAUCAGCAUGAACAGAUUCAGAGGAGGAACAGAGAUAAUGUGUGUUGAAACUUGAUUCUGUGGGAUUUUCAUCAGAACUCAGAGGUUGGCACUUACCGCACGGACCUACUGUAUGAAACAGGUGGAUUGGUCAGCACAAGGGGGUGCUGUGGUGCAUCGCCCAAAUUCCCCUUCUGGACCCAAGCCACGCAGCAUGUUCCCCAGCCAGGGAUUGAACCUGCGCCCCCUGCAUUGGAAACUUGGAGUCUUAACCACUGGACUGCGAGGGAAGUCCCUGUAUCAUAUUUUAGAUUUCACAUGGAAGAUACUGAAGUUGGUGUGUAUGCAGUGGAAGCUGAGUAUCACAUGGAUAUUCAUAAACAGUUUUGUUUCCUUAAACACAAGUCACCUUGCUCCACAGCAAAAGUUCUAGGUCCAAAGUCAAAGGAAUCUAUUUAUUAGAAAUAAAAAUAUGUAAGUUAAAGUAGCAAUGUUAAAUCUACUAUUUAGUAAGUGUUUUCUUCAAGUAAAGCAAAACUCUUCAGUUUGUGUGUUUGCUUCAGUGAAAUUGUAUCAUCAACUUAGCCUCAAGUCCAGGAAUGAAGAGGAGAUAAAUCUUUACCCAGUCAGCUCACUAUUAGAGAGGAAGG